CCUACGGGUGGCAGCAGUAGGGAAUCUUCCACAAUGGGCGCAAGCCUGAUGGAGCAACACCGCGUGAGUGAAGAAGGGUUUCGGCUCGUAAAGCUCUGUUGUUGGAGAAGAACGUGCGUGAGAGUAACUGUUCACGCAGUGACGGUAUCCAACCAGAAAGUCACGGCUAACUACGUGCCAGCAGCCGCGGGAAUACGUAGGUGGCAUGCGUUAUCCGGAUUUAUUGGACGUAAAGCGAGUGAAGGCGGUUGCAUAGGUCUAAUGUGAAAGCCUUGGGCUUAACCGAAGAAGUGCAUCGGAAACCGGGCAACUUGAGUGCAGAAGAGGAGAGUGGAACUCCAUGUGUAGCGGUGGAAUGCGUAGAUAUAUGGAAGAACACCAGUGGCGAAGGCGGCUGUCUGGUCUGCAACUGACGCUGAGGCUCGAAAGCAUGGGUAGCGAACAGGAUUAGAUACCCGAGUAGUC
rnacentral:rRNA from 1 species